UUGGUUAAUAGAUCGGAUCACGUCUGGCCUGUUAAUAAGCGUGAAUUGAAUUUUAAGAAUGAAAUACAAACUGAGAUACGUUCGAGAUAAUGUGGAACUGGCGAUGGAAGUAGUUGAAUGGAAAUUAUAUUACCGCUUCAGAUUGAAUUUUUUUUCGAAUUUCAGGGUUCUGAUAUCCAGAGUUUUGCAAUGAUAAAUAAAUAAACGCGUUCCUUUUUGAAAACGCGCGAUUUGAAUUCUGAAAAUAUUUUUAUAAAAAGUAGAGACUUUAAGUAACGGUGAAAUAUUUUUAUUUACAAUUGUGUCAUAAUAGCGACGAUCCCCCCCCUACAUCGUCGUAAAUCGAUUACAUAUCGCGACUCUUUCCUUUACAUAAUGCCGCGAAAGAGAUGCCCGCUUCAAUUGGCAAGCGGUGUAUGAAUUAUAGCGGAUAUACCACAAGUUAUUUCUGACGGGAUUUUUUGGCAUGAUUCGAAAGCAAUUUGCCAACGAUUAAAGUGUUCCAUUAAUAAGCCACGGGAUCUUUAUGUUAAGCGAACUGUAUUACUGUCAUCAGGUGAGUGUCUCAUUAAGUCUCGUUGGCAAAGUUUAAUUUGAUUAUCUAAUACCGAAGGAUAUUAUCGAAUCACAUUCUUUUUUCCUUCCUUUUCUUUUUUCAUCUAACAUCAGUGGAUGAUGGAAGAGAUAUUGGUUGCAAAAGGUUUCGCACGUUCGACUUUUUCGACAUUUUACGAUUCACAAUUCCGAAUAUAAAAAUUUAACAGGAUGCUUGAAAUUAACUUUGCAAAUUUAUCGGGAAAAGGAGCGAAAAGAUGAAGCGAAUGAUCGAUAUUACGACGAUGUGUUCGCUCUUUCGUUCCAUUGAAUACUACAAGCAAUAAAGGAGGAAAACUUUCCAUUCUAUACCAGAGUCUGGAAAAGUACCGAAUGCUUAUGACGCAAAUUUAACAGAGGACACAGGAUGAUUGCCAAUAUUCCAUCCCAUAAAGACGAAGGAUAAUAAGAGCUUCAAUUCGUAAUAAAUCUUAUAAAAAUAUCAACGUCCAACAAAAAAUUCAUAUGUACAUUUAUUAAAACGAGUUUGUUCGACAAUUGAUGACGAUAUAUUCGUGGAAUAUUAGUAGAAUUUUCAUAUUUCAACUUUAUAACUUUUCAAAACAUUCCAAAGAUUUCGAUUGUUGAAAAUGAAAAUAAUUUUCAAAGAAUUUUCAAAGAGUAUUAAAAACAGAUAAUAAAUAAUCUGAAACUGUGGUUAAAAUUUGUGGUUAUAAUUUCAAAAUUCAAGAACAAUAAACGUGAUUAUUGAUUCAACUUUUAACAAACGAUAAUCUUCGAAUUAGAAAAAUUAAAAACUUUCAAUAGACAAAUAAUGAUAAUCUUUGACUGAUAUGACAUAAAUAUUCUAGAAAUAAAUUGCCGCAGUAUCGCUUUCCUUUUUUUUUUUUUUUUUUAAAUAAAUAUCUUCAUUCCGUUUUAAAAUUAUCUGCAUAUCUAUUUUCCGUAUAUCACAGAUAUAUAUUUCAAUUUCGAAUAAUCUAUCUUAAGAAAGAAUAAAAAGAAUGUGAAAUCUAUUGCGUAAUAUUUCUGUAAAAAAAGUUGUCAAAGGAAUAAACCGAUUAAUAAAGAAACACGCGCUCAAUAAAUAUCUAAUCACGCGGUUACCACUGAACGAUAAAUCCGUACGUUGGUAAAUCAUGCGAUUGUUGUACGGAAUCGCGGGAAACUUGUAUGAGAAUGGCGAUCCGCGGUCGACCACGUGACAAACGUUGAAAGCACGUGCUCCGCAUCAAUUAUGGUCGAAACCAGUGAACAACGCGCGCCCCGAGAAGGAAUUCCACGCAAAGUGACUCGUUUCUCCUCAAAAUGCACGAAUGCGCACACGGAGAGUUCGUAUUGCAACUGUUUCGCAACCGAAGAAGAAAGAGAUGCCGGGAAAAAGAUAAUAACGCAUAUUGCGUUCAAUGAAUAGAAACGAACUAAGAAAAAUGAAACGUGUCAUCGAGUUAAUCGGUUCAGGAAAAGAAGAUACUGAAACUCAAUUGGUAUACGGUGAUACACGUGGAACGUAAUUGACACCGCGAAAACAACAUGAUUAACAUCGAUCAGAAUAAUAAAUAAAAUGUAGGUAUAUUUUAUCUAUCGUGAAACAUUUCUAACUUUUAAAAAUUGAUCCAGAAUUGAAUUAAUUUUGAUCGAUUUAUUUUACAUUUUACAAUUAUAUAUCAAUUAAUUGUUUAGAGAUGCGAUAAUAAUUACAUCAGUAGUAAAAAAUAAUAUUAAAUAUGAGAAAAUGAAAUGAAUGAAAAUUAAUAGAAAUUUUUCGGAAUAAAAACGAUAAAAUUCGCGAAUGAGUCACAGUGGAAUUUUUAAAUCAGCUAAAUAUAUUAAAUGUAACUAGAGAAAUCAACAAUUACGACAGAUUUACUUAGAACUUUUAUUUAUAUGCGUAUAUGACUUCAUCUUUGGCAUCUUGGCGACAAGAAUAUACCGAAGAAUAGACUGCAAAGCAAAUGCAAAGCAAAACUGAAAGUGAUGGAGAGGGGGAAAGAACGUAAGUGGGUGUACGAGUUAUAAAAUCAGGAUAAGGACGAAGAUUACCUUUGGAACAUCUACUAACUUUAUUCUCUAACUUUUAUUAAUUUACGCAUUCAAAAUUCAUCGCUAACUCUUUAAAUAUUCUCUAUGAAGAAAAAACUCUUUAAAAUUUAUUUCUCUAUGAAGAAAAAAAAUGACAAUCUUUCCUAUAUAUAUAACCUAUAAAAUUAUGACAUUGCGCAAAAGAUUAAAAACAUCACUCAUACUUUAAACAUCAAUAAAGAAAAAGAAAAGUAAA